GACGUAGGGCGCGAGCGUUGUCCGGAUUUAUUGGGCGUAAAGAGCUCGUAGGCGGCUUGUCGCGUCGACUGUGAAAACCCGCGGCUCAACUGCGGGCCUGCAGCCGAUACGGGCAGGCUAGAGUUCGGUAGGGGAGACUGGAAUUCCUGGUGUAGCGGUGAAAUGCGCAGAUGUCAGGAGGAACACCGGUGGCGAAGGCGGCCAGCUGGGCCGACCCUGACACUGAGGCGCGAAGGCGUGGGGAGCGAACGGG
rnacentral:rRNA from 1 species